GACGAACGCUGGCGGCGUGCUUAACACAUGCAAGUCGAACGGUGAAGGGACCGGUUUUUGCUGGUUCUGGAUGAGUGGCGAACGGGUGAGUAACACGUGAGUAACCUGCCCCCUUCUUCUGGAUAACCGCAUGAAAGUGUGGCUAAUACGGGAUAUUCUGCGCCUGCUGCAUGGUGGGUGUGGGAAAGAUAUUGUUUCGGUGGGGGAUGGGCUCGCGGCCUAUCAGCUUGUUGGUGGGGUGAUGGCCUACCAAGGCGGUGACGGGUAGCCGGCCUGAGAGGGUGGACGGUCACACUGGGACUGAGACACGGCCUAGACUCCUACGGGAGGCAGCAGUGGGGAAUAUUGCACAAUGGGCGCAAGCCUGAUGCAGCGACGCCGCGUGAGGGAUGGAGGCCUUCGGGUUGUAAACCUCUUUCGCCAGUGAAGCAGGCCUGUCCCUUUUGUGGGUGGGUUGACGGUAGCUGGAGAAGAAGCGCCGGCUAACUACGUG
rnacentral:rRNA from 1 species